GCUCUUAUUAAAGUAAUUGAUUUUACAAGGAAUACUAUUUGCUACUACUAAUAAAAAAAAAAAGCUUAUGAAAUUAUAGUAGUUAUAGAAAUAGGAGCGUAUUUUUUUUUUUUUUUUAUUUUGGUUCUAUGUACUUUAAUACUCUUUUUCAUUUGGAACCAGACUUUCCCCCCAAAAAAUUAAAAAAUCCCCAAAGACUAAAUCUUCCCCCCAAUAAUUUUAAACUUAAUCAAAUACUACUCCCACGAAUAAAAAUUGGAACCCUAACCUUUUCCCUUCCCCCAAUUCCCUUUACGUCAAAGGCUGCACCGGCGGCCUAAUUUCUCCAUUUCUCUCUCUCUCUCUCUCUCUCUGCUUGAAUUUUAUUUGUCAUUUACUUUUCUUGAUUUAUUUUUUUCUUUUGUAGGUUUAUGAAGUGGAGUCCCGAAAGAGAUUAAUUGUAUAAUAUGAUUGUUGCAUUGGAUCAUAUUUUUGUGGAUGUGAAGAGAUCUCUUUCUCAUCUUCAUCAGAAGUCGAUAUGCAAAAGUUAGAGUCAAGAAGAGAAGUCUUUUGAAGAGGAUGCAUGUUGUCAUAGAGAUUCAAGAUGCUGCUUUGUAUGAAGCCUCAACAAGUGACAAUCAAUGAAUUGGUGUUUUUGUGGUCACUAGUCAAUAUUAGAUUUUAUUUAUAGCAUUCUCAGCUUAGGAGAAAAUUUUGUAUUCUUCGGGAACCAUAUAUUUAAUGGUGUUAACGAGAUUUUUCAAAAGUUUGUCGAAGUGACUCUUUUGUUUAAUUCAAAGUUCUAUUGUAGUGUAUAACUUGUGUACUGG